AACGAACGCUGGCGGCAUGCCUAACACAUGCAAGUCGAACGAGACCUUCGGGUCUAGUGGCGCACGGGUUCGUAACGCGUGGGAACCUUCCCUUAGGUUCGGAAUAACUCCCCGACAGGGGUGCUAAUACCGGAUAAUGUCUUCGGACCAAAGAUUUAUCGCCUUUGGAUGGGCCCGCGUUGGAUUAGCUUGUUGGUAGGGUAAAAGCAUACCAAGGCGACGAUCCAUAGCUGGUCUGAGAGGAUGAUCAGCCACACUGGGACUGAGACACGGCCGAGACUCCUACGGGAGGCAGCAGUGGGGAAUAUUGGACAAUGGGCGAAAGCCUGAUCCAGCAAUGACGCGUGAGUGAUGAAGGCCUUAGGGUUGUAAAGCUCUUUUACCCGGGAUGAUAAUGACAGUACCGGGAGAAUAAGCUCCGGCUAACUCCGUG
rnacentral:rRNA from 1 species